rnacentral:lncRNA from 1 species
GGGGGUUCUUGCUCUUCCCAUCUUGCUCAUCCAUCCAUUACAUUGAGUUUUGAGUUGAAUUACACCCCCAAAAAGAUAUGUUGAAGUUUUAACCCCUGGUACCUGUGAAUGUGACUUUAUUUGGAAACAGGGUCUUUGCAGACAUAGUCGAGUUCAAAUGAGGUCAUACUGGAUUAGGACAGGCCUUAAUCCAAUGACUGGUGUCCUUAUAAGGUCACGUGAAAAUAGAGGCAGAGAUUGGAGUUGUGCCGCCAUAAGCCAAGCAACACCAAAGAUUACCAGCAAAUACCAGGAGCUAGGAGGAAGCGCGGAAGAAUCCUGCCCUCCCCACCCCCAUCCCAAGAGCCUUCCAAGAGAGCACAGCCCUUCUGACACCUUGGCUUCAGACUUCUAGCCGCCAGAAUUGUGACACAAUCCGUUUCUGUUUUAAGUCACCUACUUGUGGUAUUUUUGUUAGAGCAGGUCUAGGGAACUAAUACAUAUGGUCAUUUUGAUCCGCCCAGCUUGCCUGGGUCCUUCUGUGUGCCCUCCUCAUCAGCUCUCACCUGGCUCCUGCCUUGUGUUGUACUUCUGCAGGUGUUUUAUCCUGACAUGAAGCUCCUGCCCUCACUCAUGUUUGAUCUCACUCAGACUACAACCUGAGCUCUCUCUCAAGCUGGAGGCCUUUGGCUCAAAGCUUUGGGCAUGUUCUGUAGGUCACAUGGUGGCAUGGAUGGAUGGAUACACUGACCUCCCUUGCUAUUGCCCUUACCGUAGAGCUUAGAGACAGCAGCAGGUGACGGGGGAGGGACGCUGUACACUGAGCUGGGUUAGAUUUUCAUUCCUAUCACUUAUUAGCUGUGCCACCUAGGUUAGUCACAGGAUUCCCAGUUCUCAGUUUCUUCUUCUGUAAAAUGGGGAUUGGAAAAGGCUAACUGUACCCUACCUCCCAUGCAGGAGCUUUGCAGCUCAUAAAGUCCAGUGCAAAUGCAAGAGAUUAGUAGAAAACAAUCCUGGGGAAAGAGAAGUGAUGGAGGGCAUGGACUGGUCCACUCUCCUGCAGUUCUGGGGUCUCCUGGCCCUCUCUGAUUGCCCAGUAGAUGGGCCAGCCUUCCGCAAGAGAAGGCCUAAAAAGCUUGGUCUGCACAUUGUCCCAGGAUUCCAACCCCAGCUGGGGUUCCUUCUGAUUUUUUUUUUUUUUUGAGAUGGAGUUUCACUCUUGUCACCCAGGCUGGAGUGCAGGGGCACAAUCUCAGCUCACUGCAACCUCUGCUUCCCAGGUUCAAGCAAUUCUCCUGCCUCAGCCUCCCGAGUAGCUGGGACUACAGGUGCCUGCUACCAUGCCCGGCUAAUUUUUUUUUGUAUUUUUAUUAGAGACAAGGUUUCACCAGACGAGGUUGGCCAGGCUGGUCUCGAACUCCUGACCUCAGGUGAUCCACCUGCCUCAGCCUCCCAAAGUGCUGGGAUUACAGGCAUGAGCCACCAUGCUCGGCUGUUCCUUCUGAUCUUAGAUGAUGUCUUAGUGAUUUCACUUACUUUCUAUUCCUUAGAAAAAGAACUCAGAAUAUCCCAUGCUAGGGAUGUACAUGUCUACAUCCCUACAGAGGUACAAUUCUGGUCACACUGCUCUUACCCUUAAAACCCUUAAUUUAUCCUAACUUCCCACAUGCAUAAACUCCAGACUCAACAAGACAUAUAGUAAGGCCUUUCUUGGUCUGCCUGCCUGCAUUUCGAGGCCCAUCUUCCCACAUCCUCCCCCUACAUUCUCCACUACAUGUUUUCCCCCAAAUAAGCCAAACCCUUUCCCUCAGUGGGCUUGAGAACACCUCUACCUCUCCUUCAACAACAAUGAAAUAAUAAUGCAGCUACUCACUGAACACACAUACAUCACUUUACAUAUAGCAGGUAGCUCUUAGCCUCAUAAGUGAGGCCUUAUUUUGCACAUUUUACAAAUAAGAAAACUGGGACUCAGAGAGGUUAAGUAAUGUACCCAAGAUCAAUUAGUACAUGACAAUCGUGAUUUGAACCCAUCUUUCUUGCUGCAAAGCCUGUGAUCAUCCUCCUCUGCCGGGCUGGUCUCCCUCUUCUUUCUUUUUUCUCUUUCUUUCUUCUUCUUUUUUUUUUUUUUUUGAGACAGAGUUUCUCUCUUGUUGCCCAGGCUGGAGUGCAAUGGCACAAUCUCAGCUCACUGCAAUCUCCACCUCCCGGGUUUAAGUGAUUCUCCUGCCUCAGCCUCCCGAGUAGCUGAGAUUACAGGCAUGCACCACCAUGCCUGGCUAAUUUUGCAUUUUUAGUAGAGACAGGAUUUCUCCAUGUUGGUCAGGCUGGUCUCGAACUCCCGACCUCAGGUGAUCCGCCCGCCUCGGCCUCCCAAAGUGCUGGGAUUACAGGCAUGAGCCCCCGCACCUGGCUUCCCUCUUCUUUCAAAGUGCAGUUUGAGAUUUAUUUCCUGGAAACCUGCACUGAACUCUUCAUCUCAGCUCUCUGCAACCACCCUGAGUGGGGUGCCUGUGAGUUGCACUAGCAAAGGCUGACACUGAUCAAACAGUAACGGCAGCCAUGGUCCCCUGUCUUCCUCCCAAGAUGUAACUGCUAUAGGGCAGGAAUCUAGCACCAUGCCAGGCACAGAAUAGGUGUUAAAUGUUAAAUAAUGGAAUGAAAAAGUUAGAAGGGAAUUUUCGGGGGAGUAUACAUUUAGGAAUAAUCUAUGCCCAUUUCACAUGAGGAAACCCUUCUCACCCAUUCCUUGCGAAUACUCACACUCAUUCCUUAGGAAACAAUCUCAAUCCUUCUAGAUUUUGAGACAUUUUGAACUUCCUACAUAGUAUAGCGCAGUUGAUUUUCUUUCCUUUCCUGGUGCUAUUUCACGUGAGGCAAUGCAGUGCUGUGGUCACAAGUUUUGGGAUCAGACCUGGUUCAGUCACUUACGAGUUUGUGACCCUGGAGCCCCAGUUUUCUCAUCUGCAAGAUGGGAGGAUACUACCUACCUCAUGGAGUUGAUCUGAGGGUUGAAAGAAGUACCUUACCACCUGUGAGACAGCAUUAUGAUUGCUGUUGUGUAGGUUGGGAAAUGAAGACAGGAAAGGUGAGGAGCCUUCCCACAGUGGAAAGGGGACGGGAAAGCCUAUGGGGGUUGGGGAGCGAGACCUGGGCCAGGCCAUCUUAUCCCAGAUCCUGUGCUGCCUCUGCAGCACCAUGAGGUACAGGACCACAUGGCUUAACAGACAUUCAGUAUUUCCCUCAUUCCUCAGUGAGGCACCCCUAAAGUCUUUCCAGAAUGGACUUCCAAGGGGUGAGUUCUCAGCAGAUACCAGCUCCAGCCCGGAGUUGCCCUCACAGGGUCCAGCAGCUAAUUCAACCUUUUAGAGCUCUCUGUACUCCCAAGGUUCCGUCUGACCAUUCAAAAAUGGCUCAUUGUCUGGGAAUGGUGGCUGAGGCUUGUAAUCUAGCACUUUGGGAGUCCGAGGCAGGAGGAUUGCUUGAGUCUAGGGCCAGUUACUUGGGAGGCUGGGGUGGGAGGAUUGCUUGAGCCCAGGCGGAGAGUGCAGUGAACCCUGAUCGCACCACUGCACUCCAGCCUGGGCAACAGAGCAAGACCCUGUCUCAAAAAAAAAAAAGCUCAGCCCUAUCCAUGCAUAUGGGACCACUUUGUGUGCUUGGAAAUGCCCCCUCCCAUAAGGCUUGGGUUUCUCUUGCAAGGGGUGGAGGCACUCCAGUUGCUAAACACCUUUCUUGGGUAGGGGAUUGAGGAGACAGGAUGCCUUUGGAAGAGCAUCCCCUAAUGCACAGUUCCAUCAUCCCUUAUAGUAUCUGCAGCUCCUCCAGCUCCUGUUUCUAUCUGUUACUUCAGGGGCUGAACUCAAAUAUAGGGAUCCAGAAGCAGCAGGGGAGGGGAAAAAAAUCCGUAUCCUGUAAAGACCCAGGUUCCACUUGUCCUUGAAGAUCCCGCUGAAGGUGUCACACUCCCUCCCUCCAGGAGGCUCCCUGGACCCCUCAGAUCCAGAUAGGUGAUCCUCCUCCAUUCCUGCCUCCUGGAGAAAGAAUUACACUAUCACCUGAUGAGUGAUACCUGACUCCUCCAGAACCCUUCAGGGCAGGCAUUUUAUUCAUCAUUUAUUUUAAAAAUAACUGGGAGUCAGAAACAGAUGCUAAGAGGAGGCACAUUCUUCAAGUUUUCUAAAAGAACCCUUUCUACUUU